GCAAAUUCUUUUAACUCUGAAAAUGUUUUCUUACGAAAACCCUUGAACCAAAUCCUCCUUUCAUGAACCCUUUCCGGACAACCACUGUUGCGGCCCCUUUGUUUACCUCACCCGCGUUGGAACCUAGACGAUGCCUUGAUCUCCGGCGACGAUGACAGAAAUUUUGCUCUCUUCCUCUUCCCCUAUCUCCACCAUCUCCGAUCCCCUCACCUCUUCACCGACGACGAAGUUAGGGAUUGUCUUCCCUGUCGUCUCAAAUGCUUGGCGAUUACGAUAGUAGCGACAACGAGGAGGCGAGUGGCCGCCCAUUUUCGUCGCCUAGUUCAGAAACGUUUAGAUUAUUGGUUCUGGUUGCUUCUCAGAACAUUCUCUCUUGCCGGUCUUAUUUUGUUCUUCAUGCAACAUCAUCAUCGUGAAUCGCAUACAACGCCCCUUUCUGGGGCACUCUGGGCAUCUGGAAUUGGAGCAUCACUCGUGACUUAUUCAUGCAAAAAGUCGCCAAUGAAGACUAGCCUCAGCUCAUCCAUGCCAGUUGAAUCUCCAAGCUUUCAACUCCUGAAACUUUUUAUAGCUCCUCUCGGAUUACAAAGAUGAAUGCUUGGUCAAAGAUGAUUGACAACGAAGAACAAAAGUUAAAAGAAAAGGGUUUGGAGGAGAAGAGUUUAGCGAAGCAGAAUGUACAUGGAGGAAAGAAAAUUUGGGAAAAUAGAAGUGAAAGCUCGCGUGGCGUAGGAGAGAGAAACUAAAAUUUUAGAGCGAAGGUUGAGCCAAGUCAGAAUAGGUCGAAGGUCAAGCCAAGUCAGUUCAGACUAGAGGUCGACACGAGUCGGUCCGGACCCUAAGUUGAGUCAUGUCAAACACAAGGACAAAUGACUUUAGUGCAUAGAGAUUUAAGGAAGAUAUUGUAUAGUGACUUGAUGAGGAUAUGAAGAGUUGAUGUAGAUUGAUGAAGACUUGAAGAAAUGUUUUGUUGAUCAAGCUUGAUGUGUGCUUAAUUUGGCUAUUACAUGAAGAUCUUGAAGCUUAACAUGAAGACAAUUUGACAUAGUAUAGGUGUCUUGUGUCUGGUUGUAGUCUUUUAGCUUACUACUAUAUUUCUGUCAUUAACACUUUCAAUCAGUUGAAUUAUUAUUCAAUCAGCUGAUUUCACUUAAGUCAAGUGAAAUCAACAGAUUGAACAAAUAGAUCAACCUAUUGAAUAUGUUAAUAGAUAGACAAUAAAGUCUGGUUUUUUAGAUAGAUCAUUAACAUUUGUGAUUUUGAGCAAGAAAUCAGGGUGAAUAAUUUAGAAAUUUCUUUCUCUCUCUGAACUAUACAAAUCUAUAGUUAUUCGUGAGGUGUUCUUUGUAAUUUUGAUAGCGGUUUACUUGGUAUAAGAGACUUGGAGAAAAGGUUCGAUUGGCUAAGGAGAUUCACACCAAGGUUUAGUCUUUCUCAAGUUUUUUGGUGUUAUUGGUGUGAUUGCAGAUUUGCAAGUGAGAUUCUUAUUGUGAUUUGUUGAGAUUAUUGUGGGAUUAUAGAGUCUUGGUGUAAUUUCACGUUUUCAAAAGUGUAAUCUUGGUGGCUUUUGUAAAACUUUUGGUAUAGUGGUGUGUCAGGCUAAGGUUGCCUUGACAAAUUGAAUGUAACUCAAUUUUGAGUGAACUAAUAAAAAUUUUGUGUGCACUUGUCUAA